UUAGGCAAAAUAUUUUAUAAACUAAUGUCUAGUUUCACCGCCCUUGGCUUCAAUGACUUCUUGGAGUCUUGCUGAUUUGGGCUUUGUGGUAGCCAGGGAAGUUCUUUAGGUUCUUCGCGAGUUCGACCCUUGUGGCAUGGAGCAUUUUCCUGCUGUACGAUCCAGUUAUACGUGGAGAAAAUUCUGUUUGCCGAGGUGAAUGUGUAAUCAUAUAAGAUAUGGAGGUAUCCAGUUUGAUGUAAUAUACCCUCUAUCGGUACCAAGUCUCCAAAUCCAUAAUAGCUCAAACAGCCUCAGAACGUCACCGUGCCACCACCAAACCUGUUCAUUGGCUGAACAGGAGGAUUACCCUUUAGUUGUUUUGGGAGAUGCAUAAGUUGCUUGCAACGCAACUUAAUCUGUCCAUAAAACAUUAAACCAGAACUCUAGAGGCUUCUCUUUAUACUCCAAAACAAUUGCGAGACGCUUUGCUUGUUUGGUGUACUAUCGCUAAUAUUUUUUCCAGUUAACAUUUUCGAAGCUUCGGCAAUUUUAACAGGACUUAAAGUGGGAUUGAUUGAGAAAUGCGACAAUAACUGUUAUUAUUGCAUCUGACUUCCAAUAACAACAAAAAAUGCAUUCAAAAUCGAGAAGGCGAAAUAAUUCAUGUUGUGUAAAUACUUUUGAUUACCUCUGUAUAGACUGGACAAUCAGUCAGAUUUUGGAAUAAUAUUUGGAGCUUUAAUAACAAAUCGUUUUCAUGAAA